rnacentral:rRNA from 1 species
GACGAACGCUGGCGGCUUUCUUCCCCCCUUCCAUUCGAACUUCAAUUCCCUGCUUUUUUUUUUUUCUCGCUUGGCGAACGGGUGAGUAACACGUGAGUACCCUUCCCUUGACUUUUGUAUAACUUCAUGCAACUGGGGCUAAUACCGUAUAUGAGCUCCUGCUGCAUGGUGGGGGUUGGAAAGUUUCGGCGGUUGGGGAUGGACUCGCGGCUUAUCAGCUUGUUGGUGGGGUAGUGGCUUACCAAGGCGUUGACGGGGCGCAGGCCGGAGAGGGUUCCAGGCAACAUUGGGAAGGAGAUACGGCCAAGACUCCUACGGGAGGCAGCAGUGGGGAAUAUUGCACAAUGGGCGGAAGCCUGAUGCAGCAACGCCGCGUGCGGGAGGAAGGCAUUCGGGUUGUAAACCGCUUUCGCCUGUGACGAAGCGUGAGUGACGGUAAUGGGUAAAGAAGCAAAGGCUAACUACGUG